AUUGAACGCUGGCGGCAGGCCUAACACAUGCAAGUCGAGCGGAUGAGUGGAGCUUGCUCCAUGAUUCAGCGGCGGACGGGUGAGUAAUGCCUAGGAAUCUGCCUGGUAGUGGGGGACAACGUUUCGAAAGGAACGCUAAUACCGCAUACGUCCUACGGGAGAAAGUGGGGGAUCUUCGGACCUCACGCUAUCAGAUGAGCCUAGGUCGGAUUAGCUAGUUGGUGAGGUAAAGGCUCACCAAGGCGACGAUCCGUAACUGGUCUGAGAGGAUGAUCAGUCACACUGGAACUGAGACACGGUCCAGACUCCUACGGGAGGCAGCAGUGGGGAAUAUUGGACAAUGGGCGAAAGCCUGAUCCAGCCAUGCCGCGUGUGUGAAGAAGGUCUUCGGAUUGUAAAGCACUUUAAGUUGGGAGGAAGGGCAGUAAGCUAAUACCUUGCUGUUUUGACGCUACCGACAGAAUAAGCACCGGCUAACUCUGUGCCAGCCGCCGCAGUAACAC
rnacentral:rRNA from 1 species